rnacentral:rRNA from 1 species
GCGAUGAAGUCCUUCGGGAUGGAUUAGCGGCGGACGGGUGAGUAACGCGUGAGCAAUCUGCCUUACACAAAGGGAUAGCCUCUGGAAACGGGGAUUAAUACCAUAUGACACUUUCUUGUUGCAUGAUGAGAAAGUCAAAGAUUUAUCGGUGUAAGAUGAGCUCGCGUCUGAUUAGCUAGUUGGUGGGGUAAAGGCCUACCAAGGCGACGAUCAGUAGCCGGCCUGAGAGGGUGAACGGCCACACUGGAACUGAGACACGGUCCAGACUCCUACGGGAGGCAGCAGUGGGGAAUAUUGCACAAUGGGCGCAAGCCUGAUGCAGCGACGCCGCGUGAGCGAAGAAGGUUUUCGGAUCGUAAAGCUCUGUCCUUUGGGAAGAAAAAAUGACGGUACCAAAGGAGGAAGCCCCGGCUAACUACGUGCCAGCAGCCGCGGUAAUACGUAGGGGGCGAGCGUUGUCCGGAUUUACUGGGCGUAAAGGGUGAGUAGGCGGUAACGUGUGUCAGAUGUUUAAUCUAUGGGCUCAACCCAUAUCAGCAUUUGAAACUGCGUAACUUGAGUGCAGGAGAGGUAAGUGGAAUUCCUAGUGUAGCGGUGAAAUGCGUAGAUAUUAGGAGGAACACCAGUGGCGAAGGCGACUUACUGGACUGUUACUGACGCUGAGUCACGAAAGCGUGGGGAGCGAACAGGAUUAGAUACCCUGGUAGUCCACGCUGUAAACGAUGAGUGCUAGGUGUUGGCCGAGAGGUCAGUGCCGGAGUAAACGCAAUAAGCACUCCGCCUGGGGAGUACGGUCGCAAG